CCCUUAGAUGUCCUGGGCCGCACGCGUGCUACACUGAUGCAUACAGCGAGCACUUCCCGGCCCCGAAAGGCGGCUGGUAAUCAGCAAUAUGCAUCGUGAUGGGGAUAGUUCUUUGGAAUUCUUGAACUUGAACGAGGAAUGCCUAGUAGGCGCAAGUCAUUACCUUGCGUCGAUUAAGUCCCUGCCCUUUGUACACACCGCCCGUCGCUCCUGCCGAUUCGAGUGAUCCGGUGAACCUUUUGGACCGAGGCAGCUUGCUGUUUUGGAAAAUCAAGUAAACCACGUCACUUAGAGGAAGGAGAAGUCGUANCA
rnacentral:rRNA from 1 species